AACAAAUAUAAAUUAAAUUAGAUCUCUCUGGAGCUGUUGCUCAUUGUACAUUUAGAUAAUAGUGUAGGUUUAGAUUUAAUUGCCUCCUUUGGUUUCUGAAAUCAUGUUUUCAUGCAGGCUGUAAGCAGAGCUAUUAAUACUUUGUGAAUAUAGAGUGCUGUAUCAAAGGGGAACUGGUAAUCAGCUAUAGGCUCGUAAUGGUAUACGACACUCAUUGCCGCCUUUAACCAAUGCUCCCUUUCCGUUCGUAUCUCCUUUUCCAUGGUUUCCUUUUAUUCCAGUUUCAUUAGUAAGCAUGAACAUAGCACAUUAAUGGAUUCUGAAUCAACUCGUCAACGUACAGUGGGAAUGUCAGAGUUGGUGUUGAAAGCGUUGAAAUUAGCAGUUGAUUUAAAUGUUUGAUUUGAACUCAUGAUAUUUAUUCAAUGUUUUGUGUGAACUGUUUUCCCUUUAGUCUCAACAUACACUAAAUGCUGCUCCAGCUUUGAGAUCACUGUGUUUUAGUGUGAAAGAUCUCUUUGGCAUCUAGACCUAUUCCAGGUAACCACUUCACUCUUGUCUGGGUUCAUUUGUUCCCGGCAGAAGUUAAACUAUUUCUAUUAUCGUGGAUGUGGGUUAGUGCCUCUCCUGCACCUCAAGUAUUGUAAACAUAUCAUGCAGUGCUCCACAUUGGUCUGGUACAGUAUAUCUCUGGCCGUUCUGUAGUUAGGAGUCCUCCGCCCUGUUUGACCUAACCAACUGUAUUCUCUUCAUGAUGGGAUACUAAAGCGGUGUGCCACUAUAAAAAUGUGGAUUUGCAUUGAAAUUAGCGUUAUUUUUGAACACCUGAUAGUACUAGGUGUCUGUGCUCCAUGAGUCCAACUGCUGUAGAGACUGUUUUAUGAUUUUUGGAAUCCUGGAUGUGACACUGUUGUCCAAAGGUUUAUCAAAGGUUUAUCAAAGGUAUAUCUGCGUGGCAGAAAUAAAAUAUGGAACGUGUAUCAUUCAAUGCAGUAUGUAAUUCACCUGGUUACACUGUAGAGAAAUAUCUGACAAUAAAUAGUAGUCUUCUUGUUAAGAUGUAGAAUUCAAUAGUUCACCUAUUGCUUUAGGGAUGAGAGGUGGUGACACAUUGAUGCUGUCUAUGCAGUCAUUGCUAUUUUCAGUCUCCUUUAGUAAGGCUGACUUAUACAUUUAUGUGUUAUUGUUGCCAGUUUCUGUAAAAAAACAACAACAACAAAUGAACCCAUUUCUGCUCAAAUACAUUACAACACAACAUAUCCACAGCAAUGAAGGUCCUGUAUUUAGAGGGCAUGGCACUUCUAGGCACUGCUAUUGAAAUUAGUCUUGAUUGUUUUAAUGAUAAUGUUGAAGAAUAUGUUUGCUUGCACAUUAUAAGUUCAAAAUAUUCAGUGUUAUUUGAAUUUUCUGCUUUCUGCUGCCUCCUCAAAAAAUAGAAGAACAUAACUAGGUUGCUAAAGCAAUUUACCCAAGUAUUAUCCCUAGCUUUGGUAGUAACACAAAUGAAAGGAUUUUGGACACCCACCCUUUCUUUAUUUAUUUUAAACCAUGC
ensembl:lncRNA